CAAAGACUGAAUUGCAUAUUGCCAAAUACAACAUUUUGGUUGUCCUGAGUGGCAAUUCUGUAAACUGGAGUUGAAUUUUAUGUACAGUGUAAUGGGCAAAUUCUCAGUUUACCUAUAAGUGUAAGGGAAAUACUGUUGUAAUUUACUAUAAAAUCUGCUUAUCCCCUUCAUUCUUGAAAACUCAUGACAAUUUGACAAGCUGUUCUACAAACCAAAUUAAUGUGAGGUAUAUAUUCAA
rnacentral:lncRNA from 1 species